CGCUCCUCCGUUUAGGCCAGUGUCCUUUGACCUCGAGUAUUUCUAAGAUUAAGUUGGAGAUUUGGGUUCUAAAUUACAUAGUCAGAGUGUCCUUGCUGAAAUGAAAAGUUUUAUUUUUGUUCAAGUGUUUGUUUCUUGUUUCUUUUCCUCAGGUAACAUUAGAAAAUGUCCAAUCUCCUCCAAAGGAAAGCUGAAGGCCUGGAUGAAGAUGGAAGGGGUUUGGAGUCCCAGGACAAGGGACAUUCUAGAAGAGGAGAGAAAGGCCUGUGUACGAGGAGACGUCCUUGCCAUUUUCAGCUUUUCUAAGAUUGGAGAGGAAUACAGUGUAGAGAUAGUAGAGCGUCAUAGAGAUAACGGAUGACCUUGCCAACCCGGUGGAAAAAUACAGAUGAGAAACUUCACACCGAGACCAGUCUGGCCUACCAACUAGUGGUAAUAAAAGUACCACCAGCUGUGACACCUGCAAGCGAUGGAGAAAAGCUCAGCACAAUUUUGGUACAUGAAAGCCACUCUCAAUAAAUUCCCCCAAAGCUCUGAAACAAAACAAAACAGACAACUGUUUAUUAUCUGCCAUCUCCCCUGACUGCCACAGGAAUAGCUCCUUCCCCUUGGCCCUUCAGAUCCAGCUGCAGUGAUGGUUUCCCCCUGUUGCUAGUCCUUGGGUGCAUCACCGUCCCUUCCCACAUCACUGUAAACAGUCCUCUUAAUAAACACCCUUCUGAGUGUGCCAUCUCUUUCCUGCCUGGACCCCCAGUGAUUCAGUCAAGCAUGUCUUUGCCAAACUUUGACCCAAAAGCUGGUGACAGAAGAGGGCUAGGAUGGUGUGAUGGUUAAUUUUAUGUGUUGACUUGGCUGGGCUACAGUACCCAGAUAUUUGGUCAAACAUUAUUCUGGAGUUUCUGUGAGGGUGCUUGUGGAUGAGAUUAACAUUUAAAUCAGUGGACUUUGAAUAAAGUAGAUUUCUUUCUCCAAUGUGGAUGGGCCUCAUCCAAUCAGUUGAAGGCCUGAAUAGGAUGAACGACUGACCUCCUGCAAGCAACAGAGAAUUCUGCCAGCAGGCUGAUUGCCCUUGGACUUCAACUGCAACUCUUUCCUGCUAGCUUACCCCAUCAGAUUUUGGACUUACCAAGCCUCCACAGCAAUGUGAGCCAACUUCUUAAAAAAAGUCUCUCUCUCAAAUACACAUGCUUCUUCUUGGUUCUGUUUUGCUGGAGAACCCUGACUAACACAGAUGGUGAACUUGCCCUCUUUCUUUGGAGGUUAAGGCUGUGAGGUAGAAUUUCUGGAAUGGAUGUGGCAGUGGUUCAAACCGCAUAAUUGUUGCCUGGUGGCAGUGUUGGUGGCAGAACUAAUCAGACUAGUUCUGCAAUGUGGAUUUGGGAACUCUUUCCGGGAGCUCAUCUCAAGCCCAUUUCUCCAGCCCUCCAAAGGAUUUUGUGACCUGCUUAACAUCCUUUGAAUAUUCUCCUUUUGCUUAUUCAAUUAGAGCCAAGCUUCUGUUGCUUACAACCAUUAACCCUAACAGAAGCAUGGACGAAGUACAAUUGGAGAAAGGUCAGGUUGAGAAAAAGAAAAAGGCUCCAAUGAUUCACUAUGAGAAAAGAAUGUCUGGAUAUCUGCUGCCUUGUCAGCCUGGGGCUUAGAAUGAAGAAGCACGUGGAGCAGAGCUGAGCCCAACCUACAGCUUAGAGCCGAGCCAGACAACCAGAAGCAGAAAGUGAACCAUCCCAGAGAACUAAUGCAGCAGUGUUACUACAAAGGCCACGUGUUCAUGGUUCAUGUUUAUAAUUGGAGACGACAUUAAAAUGUAAAAUGGAGCUAAUGACAUCACAGGGUUGACAUGAGAAUUAAGGCCACUGAAAAGAAGGAUGUCUAUGAACUUCUCCUCCCCUCACUUUGUGGUACUUCUCUGCCUUCUAGAACACGAAGAUCAAGGAUGUGGUACGCCAUUUUCUAGGCAUGUCUUCAGGCCCAAAGUGGCUAUUCUAGGAAGUUCCCCAGGCCCUAAGAUGGUGCUCUAUCCUUUUAGGUUCUUGAACUUGACUCUCUCCCUCUUCUAAUUUCUCUUCCUGGGUGUCCAUCCAUGAUAACUUCCACAAAUUGUUUUCUCUAGCUCCUAUUCCAAUUAGCUAAAAUACGAACGUGGUUUUGUGUCUUGUUUAGUUUCUUUCAUUCAUAUCCUUUCCUCUACUCCCUACCUUCCCAAUUUUCCUGUUUCCUGUCAGUUAGUUUCUGACAUUUUGAACAUUAAUAUUUACACUGCCCGCAUCUAUGUUUAGUUUAUAUAAAAUGACCCUUGCUAUAUACGCUUGAAGAAAUGGGCUAUUUGUCACACACCACUUACCAAGGUUUUGUUUUUCCUACAAUUACUUAUUCUUGAUGGACAUUUAUUUAUAAUAGAGAGUGGGCUUCUUUUAAAACAUUGAGAUCUGAAGACUAGUGUUGACUUUUCUCCAAAUUCACCCUUCCUGGAGUAACCUGAGGUUUUCCGUAUCCUUCGGCAGUUCAGUCAUAGCAGGCAAAAUUUGGGAACUAAAAGAGAUGCCCUUUUAUUAUACAUCAGGCAAAUAAGUUUUUUCCUACCAUGUUUGCUCACAGAAUGGAACCUAAUCUCAAAAUCCCCCAUCUGUGUUCUGAGAUCCCUGACGUCUUAAACUUUGAUGGAGUGAGAAAUUAAUCAAUUUCUGCUUCCGAGUUUUCUGUUAGUGCUGCAAGACCAUGGGGCCUCACUGAAGCUUCUAAUUGAUGUAGAGCAAUAACAUGCAGGAAGACAAAGGCAUCUCCAGUGGGCCUGUGAAGAAUCUUACAGCAUGAAUGGCUUAAGAUCCCAGAUAGUGGCAUGGGUAUUGGCAUACCUGCUCCUCAUUUCAAGAAAGGAUACUCUUAAAGUAAGCAAUUUGUAGGGGCACAGAUCAUGGAUUCUGGACAACUGGCAUAGCGUGACUGGUGUUCAAGCAAGGCUGAGACCAAGAGGAUUUUUCAGACUACCUUAUCCUCAGAUGACACCGGGGCUGUGCUAUGUAUUUUUAUUAAAAUAAUAAAGAAUAAAAAUUGG